rnacentral:rRNA from 1 species
AGAACGAACGCUGGCGGCAUGCCUAACACAUGCAAGUCGAACGAGACCUUCGGGUCUAGUGGCGCACGGGUGCGUAACGCGUGGGAAUCUGCCCUUAGGUACGGAAUAACAGUGAGAAAUUACUGCUAAUACCGUAUGAUGUCUUCGGACCAAAGAUUUAUCGCCUAGGGAUGAGCCCGCGUUGGAUUAGCUAGUUGGUGGGGUAAAGGCCUACCAAGGCGACGAUCCAUAGCUGGUCUGAGAGGAUGAUCAGCCACACUGGGACUGAGACACGGCCCAGACUCCUACGGGAGGCAGCAGUGAGGAAUUUUCCGCAAAUGGGCGAAAGCCUGACGGAGCGACGCCGCGUGUGGGAAGAAGGGCCUUCGGGUCGUAAACCGACUGUCGAAGGGGAAGAUAUUGACGGUACCCUUGGAGGAAGCCCUGGCUAACGUACGUGCCAGCAGCCGC